rnacentral:lncRNA from 1 species
UUUCAUUUAAAAUAUAUCAUAUUUUAUAUUUUAAUAAUUAUAUUUUAAAAAUUAUCAUUUUCCACUUUGUAAAAAAAUAAAAAUGAAUAAUUUCAUUUAGUUCCUUAUGGUAUUUUCAUAAUUAUUUUUAUUUAAAAUAUUUAAAAUAUUAAUAAUUUCAACAGAAUUCUAUAUUUAUAUAUGAUUUUUUCUUAUAAGUUUUUUAAAUAUAGAUAAUUUUAUUUAUGUGUAAUUGAAAUUACUAAUGAAAUUAGAUUUUGGAGAAAUGGAGAUACC